GCCUCUCAGCUGGACAGUCAGGGACGUUUACAGCACACACUGACAACAUGCUGUGGACUCUGCUCACUCUCAUCACUGCUCUAACAUAUGUUGAUGCAGUGAUCGUGCUGACCCAGACGCCUGCUGUCCUCACAGUUUCUACAGGACAAGAGGUCGUCCUCAAAUGUAACAUCCAGAGAAAAGAUGGAUUUUAUGUUAGUUGGUAUAAACGGGCUCAUGGUGAAGUUCCUCAAUACUCUUUGAGACUUUUCCAGUCUCACAGUUCACCUGAUAAUUUUGCAUCAGGAUUCUCCUCAGACCGAUUCAACUCUAAAUCCUCAUCAAGCAUAGAUUAUCAGUUCAUCAUAAAGAGAGCAGAGACAGGAGACACUGCUCAGUAUUUCUGUCUGACAUGGGAUAACUGUGCCAAGGAGUAUGUAUCACACUGAUUCACACCAUGACAAAAACCUCAAUGAAAGCUUCACUCCAGCAACUUUAAAUUUACUGACAUUGUGCCAGGAAUCACAUGACCAAAACAAGAAAGGACAGAGGUGAAAGUCCUCUACAGAGUGAGAAUAGUUGGAUCAGAGUCCAGCAGUGUUUAGUAAUGUGAGCAGACUGAUGACAGAAUGAGAUGUUGAGAGUGAAAGUUGGUGUGAACAGGAUGUUUGAGUUCCUCUCCUCUCAUACGUGACAGUCAGGAGGUUUUUGUACGGCCAUGAGUACAAACUGA